rnacentral:siRNA from 1 species
GCUGUCGAGUAGCCUAUUCACCA